GUGGCUGUGGCUCAGAGGUAGAGCACUCACCUAGCAUGCGUGAGGCACUGGGUCCAUCCUCAGCACCACA
rnacentral:tRNA from 1 species